rnacentral:piRNA from 1 species
UCCGAAUUCGACUUUCACCAA